ACGAACGCUGGCGGCGUGCUUAACACAUGCACGUCGAACGGGCUUCUGGGGUUCUGGCUUUUUUGGUUGGGGUUCUGGGGGUUAGUGGCGAACAGGUGAGUAACACGUGAGUAACCUGCCCUUCACCUCUGGAUAACCGCUUGAAAGGGUGGCUAAUACGGGAUGUUUCUGGGUCUGUCGCAUGGCGGGUUCGGGAAAGAUGGCACUGUUUGGUGUUUUUGGUGGGGGAUGGGCUCGCGGCCUAUCAGCUUGUUGGUGGGGUGAUGGCCUGCCAAGGCGUUGUGGGGUAGCCGGCCUGAGAGGGUGGGCGGUCACGCUGGGACUGAGAGACGGCCCAGACUCCUACGGGGGGCAGCAGUGGGGAAUAUUGCACAAUGGGCGGAAGCCUGAUGCAGCGACGUCGCGUGAGGGAUGGAGGCCUUCGGGUUGUGAACCUCUUUCGCCAGGGAGGAAGGCCUUGCCCGUGUGGUGGGGUUGACGGUAGCUGGGUUAAUUGAAGCGCCGGCUAACUACGUG
rnacentral:rRNA from 1 species